UAAAUCAUUUAAUUUGUUUUGUCUUUGGUUGUAUUAAAACUUCACAAGCCAAUCCGAAUAAAGUCUCAACGUGUAAAGGGCGGGACUAGUGCAGCAGGUUAGCGUGGGGAGUAGUGAGCACAUGUAGAGAAAGAAACCUGACCGGACUGAGAGCUAAGAGGAGGCAUCGUAGUGUGGGAAGCAGUUAAGUUUUAUCGUGAGGUCGACUACUCGUGGUCCUGAUUUAAACUUCUUUGUGACCUGCAAAAAGGAGCUGGACGUUGGAGAGAGAGGGGUUUCCAGCAGAUGGCCCUGCUGUUUCUGUGUUUUCUUCUUUGUGACUUCGCCACCGCCAUUGCCCACGUGUGUGUUUGGAUUGCCACCGCCAUUGCCCACGUGUGUGUUUGGAUUGCCACCGCCAUUGCCAUUAUCUUCGUGAGAAUAUCAUCCCCCAAUCCCUUUCUGCCCCUACUAAUUACACCCUGGAUUUCGUGAGUACUGAUUUAGACAUUGCACGUGCUUUUAUUUUGAGCUCAACGCUGAGUGAAGCGGCCAGUACAGUUUUUAGGCCCCACCGCACACAAGCUUCAACUAACAGGCCUGCAAUGGGUUAACCUCAUUUAAAGUGUGUUGUUAAUUUGAUUGUGUGUGGUACAUUGAGUUUGCAUUGUUGUAAAUUGGAGAAUCCCGUGCAUCUGAUUUUAUUUAUUUUAUUUGUUUAUUUGUUUUCUUUUCCUAAAAUACAUUCGACUAGUAUUUCAUUUUCUUGAAUAAAUAUGUGAUUGAAUACUUUUACAUUUAAAA